rnacentral:lncRNA from 1 species
AGGCUAGUCUCAAACUCCUGGGAUCAAGCAAUCCCCCUAUCUUGGCCUCCCAAAGUGCUGGGAUAACAAGCAUAAGCCAUUGUGCUAUGCUAAUAUUGUAUAAUAAUAUUAUAUGAAUGGUGGUGGCUCAUGCCUGUAAUCCCAACACUUUGGGAGGCUGAGGCAGGAAGUCGAGGCUGUAGUGAGCUGUGAUGGCACCAUUGUACUCCAGCCUUGGCGACAGAGUGAGACCCUAUCUCCAAAAUAAUAACAACAAUAAAUAAUACAUAAAGAUUUAUUAAUUGAGGGCAGGGAGUGUUUCUUGUUUGUUUCAUUUCUCGUGCCCAGCACAUAGUAGGUACACAACAACCAUGCAUUCAAUGUCUAACCAGAGAGAACACUGGAUUCUGCCUCUCUUCAGGCUCCCUGUCUCUGAUUCAACUGCAUAAUUACGAAUUGGCAGCAAUUUCAAUUCUUUCCUCCCCACCUGGGUUUAAACCAACACUAAAAAGUUGUAUUUGGUUGACUGUUGUCCUUCCAGGCAGAUGAAAGUGGCAAUUCAACCCUCUUUUUCUUAUCAACCCCUGCAUGUGUCAGAGCAUAUGAAGAUGGGAUGUGUGGGAGCUCCGGCUCUCUGGUGACUUCUCUCGAUUUAAUUAGUCUGACCUUCUGUGAUAAUCCCGAAGGCUUUCUGGAGAGUUUUAAAGUCUUUUUUUCCCCCUGUUAUUCUCCCCUCUGAAUAAUCAGGAUUUUCAUACACACUUCCUUUUUAUUUCAGGGCAUACAAUCUCUCUGCUCAGGAGAGAAAAGGCAUUAAAACAGCUCAAUACUCGGCUAAUCAAACAGCUAUUUAUUUUCAGUCUGUCCUCAUAGGAUUUUCUGAAUGAGGCAGAGAGGCCACUUUAGAAUGAUCUAGAAAGUCAAAGUGGUACCUCUGGUGCUUCUGGUCUUCAGGAUGCUGGGAAAAUUCCUGGGAGUUUAAUGUUCUCCUUUCAAACCCCCCAGCCCAGCCUGGGAGCUGUGUUAUUAUUCUCUCCAGCUCCUGUUUCUCUCUCACUAUUUUGGAAUAAAGACCUCUCAGUGUGUGAAGGAACGGCUUCUUUCUCAGCAGCAUAAGAUGAGAUGGAGAAAUUUGUAGCAUGGAUUUAUUCAACAUUUACUGAUACCUACGAGGCCAGGAAUAAUUCUAUCCACUGGAGAUACAGAGAUAAUCAAGGCUCAGCCACUAUCAAGGAGAAAUCCACUGAGUGAAAGAGAAGCACACUUCAACCAAGAGGUACAAUUGAGGCAGGUGUCUGGAACCCAGAGCGGGGAACAACCAGCUGUGUUGGGGAGAAUGGGGGAAGUUGCCAAAGAGAACAGGAUACUUGAGCUGGGUGUUUGAGAGUCGAUAGAAUUUCUACAGUCGCCGCAGUUUGGAGAGAGCUCUCUGGGAAGUGUUAU